AUGCACAUUUCCAAUGGAUUCACCAUUUAAUGCAGAAACACCUACAUCAGUGCCACAAAUGAGGAGUAUGAGUUACUUUUUAAACUCCGCAUAAUUACCAUAGGAAUGCUAGUGGUAACUGAGUAUACACAAGUUGAACAAUACAUAAGUUGUGGGAAGAUGGAUGAUUCAUAGUGCUUGUUUGAAGAAAUGCCGAGAAGAGAGGUGGUGGGAAUCUCAUGAUUCGUGGGUAUUACAAGACAGGGGGUGUUGAAAGUGGCAUUCGUUUCUUUCAGGAAAUAAGUGAUCGGAGUAUUGUUUUUUGGAAUUCUAUGAUUGUAGGGUUUGCUCAAGCAGGCCGGAAGGAAGGUUAGGACAACUUGGGGAAUGUUUAGAACCAUCAUCUUCAAGUUCAAGCACCUCUAGAACUGCUGGAGAGUCUAGUUCAAUGCUGGAGGUUGUAGAGAAGCAAUUGGAUGAGAAGGAAAUUGGUGAAUAACCUUUUGCAGGCAAGUGAAUCACUUAUUCCACACAAGAAAGUCUUGGGGUACAAAAAGGUGAAGCAUGGGUUUGGCAUGAGGGUUCCAAGAUCGAUGUUGAGGUUCUUCAAUCAGUGAGAUUUUUCCAUGUAAGCGAUGUUGGUCUUGUUUCGAGUCUAACAGUUUGUCUGUUCUAAAUGAAGACCAACUUGUUCAGUACAUGAAUAGAUUCAAGAAGCGGUUUUGGUGUACAGAUUUGUCUGGCAUAAGUAAUCACAAUUGAAGUCGAUGGACGAGAAGAUAGUAGCUAUCGCACUACAAGCAUUUCAAAAAGUUAUGUGUGACACCAGCUUAUUAGAGACCCGAAAAAGCAGCUGACUACCUAUGAAGUUCCAUGUGAGUGUUUUUUUUAUAGCUAUAUCAUGUUUUAUAAUUUAGAGAUCUUGACAGUGGUGAAAUAUUUAUGACUGUGAAAAAGCUUUCAAGGUUAGCUCAUUUCUACUUAAAACAUCGAAUAACUAGAUAAAUCAGCUAGAAUGCACAUUGAUUAGUUGGUAGUUUUUUGGCUUUAUCUCGUUAAUAUUGUAUCCAUUAUAUUUUUCUAAAGGAAAAUCAACUUUCCAACCUGAGUGGCUGCUGCAGUUGGAUAUAGACUCAUUGACUUGAAGCUGAUUUUUUCCUUGUUGGCCACCAUC